rnacentral:rRNA from 1 species
UACGUAGGGUGCAAGCGUUGUCCGGAAUUAUUGGGCGUAAAGAGCUCGUAGGCGGUUUGUUGCGUCGGCUGUGAAAACCUGAGGCUCAACCUCAGGCCUGCAGUCGAUACGAGCAGACUAGAGUGUUGCAGGGGAGACUGGAAUUCCUGGUGUAGCGGUGAAAUGCGCAGAUAUCAGGAGGAACACCGGCGGCGAAGGCGGGUCUCUGGGCAACAACUGACGCUGAGGAGCGAAAGCGUGGGGAGCGAACAGG